CCUACGGGGGGCUGCAACUAGGAAUAUUGGACAAUGGGGGAAACCCUGAUCCAGCGACGCCGCGUGAAGGAUGAAGGCCGAAAGGUUGUAAACUUCUUUUACAUGGGAACAAUGCGAGGGUACCAUGCGAAUAAGCCACUGCUAACUUCGUGCCAGCAGCAGCGGUGAUACGGGGGUGGCAAACGUUAUCCGGAUUUACUGGGCGUAAAGAGAUGCGUAGGCGUUUUAUUAAGUCUAGAUUUAAAGACCGCAGCUUAACUGCGGGAAUGGUCUGG
rnacentral:rRNA from 1 species